CCUACGGGUGGCUGCAGUGGGGAAUAUUGGACAAUGGGCGAAAGCCUGAUCCAGCCAUGCCGCGUGUGUGAAGAAGGCCUUCGGGUUGUAAAGCACUUUCAGUGGGGAAGAAGGCCUUGGGGCUAAUACCCUCGAGGAAGGACAUCACCCACAGAAGAAGCACCGGCUAACUCCGUGCCAGCAGCCGCGGUAAUACGGAGGGUGCGAGCGUUAAUCGGAAUUACUGGGCGUAAAGCGCGCGUAGGCGGUCUGAUAAGCCGGUUGUGAAAGCCCGGGGCUCAACCUGGGAACGGCAUCCGGAACUGUCAGGCUAGAGUGCAGGAGAGGAAGGUAGAAUUCCCGGUGUAGCGGUGAAAUGCGUAGAGAUCGGGAGGAAUACCAGUGGCGAAGGCGGCCUUCUGGACUGACACUGACGCUGAGGUGCGAAAGCGUGGGUAGCAAACAGGAUUAGAUACCCCUGUAGUC
rnacentral:rRNA from 1 species